rnacentral:rRNA from 1 species
GCGCACGGGUGAGUAAUGUAUAGCUAGUCUGCCCUAUGCAGGAGGACAACAGUUAGAAAUGACUGCUAAUACUCCAUACUCCUUCUUAACAUAAGUUAAGUCGGGAAAGUUUUUCGGCAUAGGAUGAGGCUAUAUUGUAUCAGCUAGUUGGUGAGGUAAUGGCUCACCAAGGCUAUGACGCAUAACUGGUCUGAGAGGAUGAUCAGUCACACUGGAACUGAGACACGGUCCAGACUCCUACGGGAGGCAGCAGUAGGGAAUAUUGCUCAAUGGGGGAAACCCUGAAGCAGCAACGCCGCGUGGAGGAUGACACUUUUCGGAGCGUAAACUCCUUUUGUUAGGGAAGAACCAUGACGGUACCUAACGAAUAAGCACCGGCUAACUCCGUGCCAGCAGCCGCGGUAAUACGGGGGGUGCAAGCGUUACUCGGAAUCACUGGGCGUAAAGGACGCGUAGGCGGAUUAUCAAGUCUCUUGUGAAAUCCUAUGGCUUAACCAUAGAACUGCUUGGGAAACUGAUAAUCUAGAGUGAGGGAGAGGCAGAUGGAAUUGGUGGUGUAGGGGUAAAAUCCGUAGAGAUCACCAGGAAUACCCAUUGCGAAGGCGAUCUGCUGGAACUCAACUGACGCUAAGGCGUGAAAGCGUGGGGAGCAAACAGGAUUAGAUACCCUGGUAGUCCACGCCCUAAACGAUGUAUACUAGUUGUUGCUAAGCUAGUCUUGGCAGUAAUG